CGUUCACGUAGUUGUCAUCAUCCACAUGGCAGAACCACUUUCUCCCAGACUCGAUGAACUUGUCGUACUCCACAGCCAUCUUGCAGGACAGGGCCUGGCGGCUGUGUGCAGCCGAGCAGUUGGUGUUGAUGACAUUUCGUGCUUGCUUCUUCAGCUCCUCAUCCUCCCCAUCCGUGAAGAUGAAGGUCAUGUCGCGGUUGCGGGAGAUCCAGGUGUCGAGCAGCAGCUCCAGCCGCGCUUUGUGGAACUUCUUGGUGGUUUUGACGGCGAUGAAGACGUCGCGGGGGGUGAUGUCCUCGGCUGGCGGCCGCGGGGGGCUCGGCGGGGCGGCGGGCAGCUCGCGGCGUGCCCGGCUCAGCCGCCCGAAGUAAUCGGCGAAGCUGCGGAGGCCCGGAGCCCCCUGCCCCGCCGCCCGGGCCGCCCCCAGGCUCUGUAGCGCCCGCUGAGCCCCACCGGCCUCUCCCCGAGCCAGCCCCGGCCUGCCCGGCGGCUCCACCAUGAGCACCAGCAGGCAGGUGAACAUGGAGCCCACGAGGGACAGGAGCAGCUUCCUCCCGCAGCUCUUCAGCAUCCUCCUCCUCCUCGCUGCCACCUCCGCCGCCCGGCCCCGCUCCGCGCCGCCACCGGCCGCGUUCCGUCCGCACCUCCG
rnacentral:lncRNA from 1 species